GUCUAUGGCCGUGCCACCCCGAACGCGCCCAGUCUCAUGUGAUCUCGGAAGCUCGGCAGGGUCGGGCCUGGUUAGUACUUGGAUGGGAGACCACCUAGGAAGACCAGGCGCUGUAGGCG
rnacentral:rRNA from 1 species